AGCCCGCUCAGAAACUACAAAGGAAGUUGACGGGGCCCGCACAAGCGGUGAGCAUGUGGUUUAAUUCGAUGAUACGCGAGGAACCUUACCUGGGCUCAAAUGUAUGUUGACGUAUUCUGAAAGGGAUACUUCUUCGGACAAUAUACAAGGUGCUGCAUGGUUGUCGUCAGCUCGUGCCGUGAGGUGUCGGGUUAAGUCCCAUAACGAGCGCAACCCCUAUCAUUAGUUGCCAUCAGGUCAAGCUGGGGACUCUAAUGAAACUGCCUACGCAAGUAGUGAGGAAGGUGGGGAUGACGUCAAAUCAGCACGGCCCUUACGUCCAGGGCUACACACGUGCUACAAUGGCCGGUACAAAGGGCAGCUACCUGGUGACAGGAUGCUAAUCUCAAAAGCCGGUCUCAGUUCGGAUCGGAGUCUGCAACCCGACUCCGUGAAGCUGGAAUCGCUAGUAAUCGCGCAUCAGCCAUGGCGCGGUGAAUACGUUCCCGGGCCUU
rnacentral:rRNA from 1 species